CCUACGGGUGGCUGCAGUCGAGAAUCAUUCACAAUGGGGGAAACCCUGAUGGUGCGAAGCCGCGUGGGGGAUUGCAGGUCUUCGGAUUGUAAACCCCUGUUAUGUGGGAGCAAAUUACAACGAUAGUACCACAUGAGGAAGAGACGGCUAACUCGGUGCCAGCAGCCGCGGUCAUACAGCGGGCUGAAGCGUUGUUCGGAAUCACUGGGCGUAAAGCGUGCGUAGGCUGUUUCGUAAGUCGUGUGUGAAAGGCGCGGGCUCAACCCGCGGAGGGCAGAUGAUACUGCGAGACUAGAGUAAGGGAGAGGGAACCGGAAUUCGCGGUGUAGCAGUGAAAUGCGUAGAUAUCGAGAGGAACACUCGUGGCGAAGGCGGGUUCCUGGACAUUAACUGACGCUGAGGCACGAAGGCCAGGGUAGCGAAAAGGAUUAGAUACCCGUGUAGUC
rnacentral:rRNA from 1 species